GCCUGGGUGGCUCAGUCGGUUGAGCAUCUGACUUUGGCUCAGGUCACGAUCUCACGGUUCGUGAGUUCGAGCCCUGCGUCAGGCU
rnacentral:tRNA from 1 species